GUGACGCGCGCGGCGGCGAGUCACAAAGGGGCGGGCGGGGGCAGCGCGCGCCGCGGCGCUGUGGCACGCGGCCCCCGAGAGCCGCGGUUUGGGGCGGGCGCGUUGAGAGCGCUUCCGGGUCAACGCGCGCGUGCCACGGAUUGGGCGGCGGCGGUGCCCGUCACGGCCUCCUGCCCGCCCCGCCCCCUUCCCCCCCCGGCGGCGGGAUGGAGCUGCGCGCGGAGUUGACGGGCCGCGACGGGCGGACGUGGCCGCUGCGGGUGAUGUCGGGGAGGAGGAGGAGGAGGAGGAAGGCGAUGAAGAUGAAGAUGAAAAUGAAAACAACAUCGACGUGAAAGCAAAUGCAGAUGGCCCACCUCUAAAACGGACAAAAGUUCAGCAGUCCUGACUGUGGCGUGAAAGACUGUAUUUAGGCCUAAAAAGAGACUUUGCAGAAUGUAAGUGUUCUUUUGGACAGUGGCACCUCGGGGGUGGGCAGGCUGUUCUUGCAAGGCAGAUGUCUGCGUUUUUGUUCCUUUUGCUUAUGUUUUAAAAAUGAAAUGUCGAUCCCCACCACUACUUUAAUAUAGGAGCCCUAACAAAAGGGUGUGUGUUGGCAUUAGUAACGUGUUUUUUACAGGAAGCGAAUAUUAGGCUGAAAAGAUUGAGAAGAAUUUUCAGUAAACCAGCUGACACAGAUAUAAAACACACUGAGUCUUCUGACCAUUACAUUUUUAAUGGCUUCUCCUGAAUCACAGUAUUUCUUCAUAUGACCUCAAAUCAAACUAUUUUAAAAUAAACAAAUAAAAUAUGGAACCUGU